GCCCUUCUGCAGGUAUGUUUCAUCUCCACAUCGUGCUGCUGACUCAGUGCCUCUCAGCCGACCUGGAUAUGGAGAAAAAGCAGCAACUCUUGAGGUUCUGUUUCCAUGCUGGCUACGAAAGGAGUUGCCCACAAGCUGUCCAUGGUUGUAGUUGUGCUGAGAGCAAGCUGCUUCCACAAUCGACCUGAAGAAACCCCUUAAAAGUGCACGCCUGCCCCAUCUUGUGACCGAUAUGCUUCAUUAUCUCCUUUUGUACUUUGCCCAGAGGUUGCUUCCAUCAUUACAGACCUUUCACAUGUGCUGCUGGCCUCAGAUCGCAGGUGGUUUCUUUGCAUGCACUGUAAUCGACGCUCUUGUUGGUGAGCUCCUUGGAAGGCUCAGCAGCAGCACGCAGCUUAUCAAACCCUGUAGGGAUGCAGCCAGCAAGAAAUGGAAAGUGAAAUGUCCCAAGUCUGCUGCAUGCAGCUGUGCCUUCUGCUUGGAUUCCAAACUGUCACUGCUGCCAAUCCGUAUCUUUGUCAGAACUGAAUAAAAAC
rnacentral:lncRNA from 1 species